AAGAAAAAUCAAAAAACAAGAAGAAAGAUGUUUUGGGUGAUCUCUCACAAUUGUUUUCCUUGCCAAACUACUCUACAAAUCAAUACAUGACUCCUUUGGGCGAAGUCUAGUGUUUAAAAUAGGAUUUUGGGCUAAAAAUCUCGUAUUUUGCACUUAGGUCCCUGAACUUUUCCGCAUCUGUCGCAUUUCUGCCGCAGUUACGGUAGAACCGCGGCCAAAAACAUGCUCUUUGAUUCUCCCAGUUGUCUGCAGUUGCACACUGCCGUGGUUCUGCCGCGGUUACGGUGGAACCACGGCCAAACAUGCUCUCUGAAUCUCAACUUGUCUGCGACAGGCCUCUACCGCGUUUCUGUCACGGUUACGGUUGAACCGCGACAGUCCUUCUUCAGGCCUAGUUAAAGCUGCUUCGCGUGGUUUACUUGGAGGAAUUUUUACGAUUGGCCUCUUUUUCUCCAUAUUCGAUCCCAAAUGUACUCCAUGGCCUUCUCUUG
rnacentral:lncRNA from 1 species